GUGCUCACUUUGGCAGCAUAUAUACUAAAAUUGGAUCGAUACAGAGAAGAUUAGCAUGGCCCCUGCACAAAGAUGACAUGCAAAUUCGUGAAGCAUUCCAUAUUUUU
ensembl:snRNA U6 U6 spliceosomal RNA